rnacentral:rRNA from 1 species
CCUACGGGAGGCUGCAGUGGGGAAUAUUGGACAAUGGGCGAAAGCCUGAUCCAGCCAUGCCGCGUGUGUGAAGCAGGCCUUCGGGUUGUAAAGCACUUUCAGUGGGGAAGAAAGCCUUGGGGCUAAUACCCUCGAGGAAGGACAUCACCCACAGAAGAAGCACCGGCUAACUCCGUGCCAGCAGCCGCGUUAAUACGGAGGGUGCGAGCGUUUAUCGGAAUUACUGGGCGUAAAGCGCGCGUAGGCGGUCUGAUAAGCCGGUUGUGAAAGCCCCGGGCUCAACCUGGGAACGGCAUCCGGAACUGUCAGGCUAGAGUGCAGGAGAGGAAGGUAGAAUUCCCGGUGUAGCGGUGAAAUGCGUAGAGAUCGGGAGGAAUACCAGUGGCGAAGGCGGCCUUCUGGACUUACACUGACGCUGAGGUGCGAAAGCGUGGGUAGCAAACAGGAUUAGAUACCCCUGUAGUC